rnacentral:rRNA from 1 species
AUUGAACGCUGGCGGCAUGCCUUACACAUGCAAGUCGAACGGCAGCACGGGUGCUUGCACCUGGUGGCGAGUGGCGAACGGGUGAGUAAUACAUCGGAACAUGUCCUGUAGUGGGGGAUAGCCCGGCGAAAGCCGGAUUAAUACCGCAUACGAUCUACGGAUGAAAGCGGGGGACCUUCGGGCCUCGCGCUAUAGGGUUGGCCGAUGGCUGAUUAGCUAGUUGGUGGGGUAAAGGCCUAUCAAGGCGACGAUCAGUAGCUGGUCUGAGAGGACGACCAGCCACACUGGGACUGAGACACGGCCCAGACUCCCACGGGAGGCAGCAGUGGGGAAUUUUGGACAAUGGGCGAAAGCCUGAUCCAGCAAUGCCGCGUGUGUGAAGAAGGCCUUCGGGUUGUAAAGCACUUUUGUCCGGAAAGAAAUCCUUGGCCCUAAUACGGUCGGGGGAUGACGGUACCGGAAGAAUAAGCACCGGCUAACUACGUG